UACGGGGGGGGCAAGCGUUGUUCGGAAUUACUGGGCGUAAAGGGCUCGUAGGCGGCCAACUAAGUCAGACGUGAAAUCCCUCGGCUUAACCGGGGAACUGCGUCCGAUACUGGAUGACUUGAGUUCGGGAGAGGGAUGCGGAAUUCCAGGUGUAGCGGUGAAAUGCGUAGAUAUCUGGAGGAACACCGGUGGCGAAGGCGGCAUCCUGGACCGACACUGACGCUGAGGAGCGAAAGCCAGGGGAGCAAACGGGG
rnacentral:rRNA from 1 species